UCACAAAAGCUGAGGAAAGUCAGGCGAUAUUCUCUAUCUUGUCACAGCUGUGAUGAUUUUGCUUAGGAAUUUUUUGUUAAUUGACAUACAUUUUUGUUAAUUCGUAGGCACUUUUGUAUGUCGUUCAUUAUGAUAAUUUUGCUUAGGAAGUUUGGAAUGAAAGUUCUGGCACUUUCAAUAUUCACCGUAUUUGUAAUCGGAAAGUAUUUAGUCUACACGUACUGUUCAUGUUCAUGGUGAUACUAUAUUGUAAAUAUUAGUGCUUAGUUCAUGUCCUUGAUGAACUUUUUUGAAUUUUUACUCCUGGUGGUGGUCGAGCUCAUCUGGUGGUGGUUGUUGCCGCUCCUUCUCUCCACGGCGUAGACCUUGUCGUCAAGCUCAUCUUCUAUCCUAAGGUGAUGAUCUUUCUGCAAGUUGCUGCCUGGGUUUAUAGUCCCGUUCGUUUCUUUACAAGACACAGAUGACAGAAAUGCCGCAAUGGGACCAGAGUUCAAAUUAGGAUGAAGAGGUGUUCUUCCAUGGUGGCCAAAGGUGAGGCGCUUCUCCGGCCAGAUCCAUGGCCACCAUGUUGCCAUCGACGUCCACCGUCUUUAACAGAUCGAUCGAGUGUGCAUCACUGAGCUGCAUGGCUUCCCC